CGGCGAACGGGUGAGUAACACGUGAGCAACCUACCCUCAACUUUGGGAUAAGCCUCGGAAACGGGGUCUAAUACCGGAUAUGACUCUUUGCUUCAUGGUGGAGGGUUGAAAGUUCUGGCGGUUGGGGAUGGGCUCGCGGCCUAUCAGCUUGUUGGUGGGGUAAUGGCCUACCAAGGCUUCGACGGGUAGCCGGCCUGAGAGGGCGACCGGCCACACUGGGACUGAGACACGGCCCAGACUCCUACGGGAGGCAGCAGUGGGGAAUAUUGCGCAAUGGACGAAAGUCUGACGCAGCAACGCCGCGUGAGGGAUGACGGCCUUCGGGUUGUAAACCUCUUUCAGCAGGGACGAAGCGAGAGUGACGGUACCUGCAGAAGAAGGACCGGCCAACUACGUGCCAGCAGCCGCGGUAAUACGUAGGGUCCGAGCGUUGUCCGGAAUUAUUGGGCGUAAAGGGCUCGUAGGCGGUUCGUCACGUCGGGAGUGAAAACUCGGAGCUUAACUCCGAGCCUGCUUCCGAUACGGGCAGACUAGAGGUAGGCAGGGGAGAGCGGAACUCCUGGUGUAGCGGUGGAAUGCGCAGAUAUCAGGAAGAACACCGGUGGCGAAGGCGGCUCUCUGGGCCUUACCUGACGCUGAGG
rnacentral:rRNA from 1 species